rnacentral:rRNA from 1 species
UACGAAGGGGGGCUAGCGUUGCUCGGAAUUACUGGGCGUAAAGAGCGUGUAGGCGGCCAGGUAGGUCAGCUGUGAAAACUCGAGGCUCAACCUCGAGACGUCGGUUGAAACCACCUGGCUAGAGUCCGGAAGAGGAGAGUGGAAUUCCUGGUGUAGCGGUGAAAUGCGCAGAUAUCAGGAAGAACACCCGUGGCGAAGGCGGCUCUCUGGGACGGUACUGACGCUGAGACGCGAAAGCGUGGGGAGCGAACAGG